rnacentral:rRNA from 1 species
AUACGUAGGGAGCAAGCGUUGUCCGGAAUUACUGGGCGUAAAGGGCGCGUAGGUGGAUGUUUAAGUCAGAUGUGAAAACUCCGGGCUCAACUUGGAGAUUGCAUUUGAAACUGGGCAUCUUGAGGGUAGGAGAGGAAAGUGGAAUUCCUAGUGUAGCGGUGAAAUGCGUGGAUAUUAGGGGAACACCAGUGGCGAAGGCGACUUUCUGGACUAUACCUGACACUGAGGCGCGAAAGCGUGGGGAGC